rnacentral:tRNA from 1 species
GGGAGGAGAUAGGUUUCUGGUGUGCCUCUUGGACUUCAAAUCCAAUGGGCCCUGAUGAGAGUCAGGGUCGGUGGGUUCGAUUCCCACAUCCUCCC